UCGGAUCCCCGGUUCUCACCCGGCCGCGUAGUGGCGGGAGACGGGCCUGUGACGCGUGGGGCCCCUGUCCGCUGCUUGCACCGGAGCCCCGGCCCCCUGCUUUCCCCUGGCCGGGCCAGCCGGCUCUGCGCCGCCUCGGAGACAAGAAAGCCGUCUGGAUGGCUUUGCGGGCCCAGCUCCGCCAGCGCCCCCUCGGCUCCUGCGGGGCGUGAAGGGGCCACACUGCCUGCUGCACCCGCCCUGUGCAGGGGCUGGGGCUGCCCUGUGGGUAGGGAAACUGGAAGAGCCCAGAGGAAGGAGGCCUGGUGUCUGGUGGUGGUGGUUUCUGAACCCAGGCACCUGGCUUGGAGUAGGUACUCAGCUGGUCCUGUGGGUUGAAUGAACUAUGGAGGCAUUUUUCAGCAGAAACUAGUCUUCCUGUGGACCAUCUGAUGAGGGUGGCAUCUUUAUGGGAAGUGAUGACGGCCCUUGGGUCCUGGACUUGGGUGUUUACUGUUGAUGGUGUCAUGGACUUGUAAGCAGUACCAAAUGGACUGAUCAUAUGCUGGCUUCUUGUUCCUGCCGGAAUAUCAUGUGGCUGCUAUUCCAUGUGCAUAAGAGCAGUCCUCAGGGAGAACCUGGGUUUCAAAGUCUCAGGACAGUCUUAGGCCUGAAGACUUGAAGGAAGUUUCAAGACCACACGAUGGUGACCCUCAGAAUGACUUGGGAUGGAGGUUUGCUGCUUUUUCUCCCCAGGAUUCGAUGGCUGUUUGUGUACCUGAGUGGGGCAGAGAAUGGAGAGUGAGGUCAUCACAUGAAGCAUCACUAGCCCUGCUCCCUGCUGCCUGCUCAGAGCAUCAUGGAACUGUUCACUCUGCACGAGAUUGGCAGGGACUGGGAGCACGUGGCCUUGACAGCAGUAUCUCAAGAAGACAAUGGGCAGGGAAGGCCAGCCCCAUGUCCCUUCCCAAGCUUGGGGUGACUUUUUUAAAUAACUGGGAGCUUUUCUCUUGAAUUUAUAGCUAGCUACUCAAUCAAUACAAUGUGAUUGUGUUACAGUAUAAUGUUAGGACAAUAACAAAAUAAAAGUUUUGAAAAAUCCAUAAGUUUGGGAGACCUGAAAUACAUUUGAUGUUACUCAUCAAAGAGAAUGAGAAAACAUAUAUAACUAUGAUAAUGACGAUUUCAUUAUCAUACCAACUUGUGGGAUGGAACUAAGAUAAUUCCUAAGGAGAAAUUUAUAUCAUUUUGCAAACAUUGGAGUAGAAGAAAGACUGAAAUUUAAUAAGUUGUAAAGAGAGAAGACAUAAAAGUAAUAACAAUUAGAGCAGAAACUAAAAAAGAAGAUAUAUGCAAAAAUGAAGAGUAGCAUGGUUAGGUUGGUUCUUUGAAAAGAUGUAGGAUAGUGAAACCUGGUGAAACUGAAGAAAACAGUUUUAGGAAUGGAAAAGGCCAGAUAGAGCUGGCAUUAAAAAGGGAAUAAAUUACUUUUGCCUUUAAAACUGAACUUUGACAAAAUAUCCAUUUUUGGAAAACUUGCAUAACCUCAUAGCCCAUCUGAUAAAGGUCAUAGUUGAUGGAGUUAAAUAAAGUUGCAUUUAUUGUAUUUAUUUAAUGCCUCUUGAGAAAGAACAGUUCCAGAGGAGUCUAAGGGUGACCUUAGAGUAAGGACCUACAUAGCCAGGACAUCGGCACACUAGUGCCUCUGGGCUUAUGUCAUGGGGAAAACUGUUAAUCUGAGAGCUUAUAUUAUUGAAAUGUUUUUAUAUUAAUAGUAGGUUAUAUGUACACAAAUAAUAUUGGAAGAGGGGACUCUUACCAGCUUUGUGGGUUUUUUCCUAAAUUUGGCAAAUGAGCUCUCAAAGUUUCGCGUUUAUUAAAACUUGGAAAAUGCUAAAAUCUGUGUGUUUUUGUCCUUUUUAAGGUGAAGGUAAAUCUUCCUGUUACCUGGUUAUGGUUUCAGGUUUCUAGGAAACCCAAAGAUAGUUUAUGCAAAAAGAUGUUUUAAUCCCUUUACUAAGUUCUGAAUUUGAGAAAGGAAAAGUCAGCUGUCAGGAGGUACAAUAUGAAUAUUCACAAUUUGAAGUUAAAAAUUAAUGUGGGGG